CUCUUGGAUCAAUUCUUAGAGCCUCUUGGGAUUGUCCAACAAUUUACAUAACUCAGCACCCCAAUCCUAAUAUUUGUUGAAUAGUUGAAAAAAAGUUGAUGAAGUUGAAACUUCAACUGACGAAGUUGAAUCAUCGAAUCUAGUCUAUCAAUUCCGCGAUAAAUUUUUUGGUAUUCUUCAAUGUCAAAUUUUUGUCCAAUCUCAUCAUUAGUGAAUUGAGAUUCCUUUUAGUGUGAAGGAGUUAAAUCUCAAUUUAAAAUCUGUAAACUGUUUAUACAGAUCUUCCAAUUUUGUUGUGUUACCUCCUGUACCAAUUCUUAUAGCCUUGAAAUCAUACAACAGCUGUAAAGAUUCAUUGCAAUUUUGCUUCAUCACCAACACAAUUAUUAUUAAGUAAACAAUUCAUUUAUCUUCAUUGUAACAACAGUUAAAAUAUAUAAAUAAAUAAAUAAAAAGAAGAUUGAAUGAAGGAGUUAGAGAGAAGCAUACCAUUGGAUUUGAUGAUGUUGAGUUGCAGCGGCAGAAGUGAAGUGAAGAGAGAACUGGGCGGCUAUAUAUAAAAGGAUUGGAACCCUAGGUUUUUUUGUUAGAAAAUAAUAGAAGUUUCAAAACGGAUCAUCAGGCUGUUUCGGGCUGGUCCUAACAAGUUUUGGUCUUUAUCGGAUCAGGUCAAAAAGAUCUAUUUAAAUAUGGGCUCUAAAAUUACUGCCUGAUCUGGCAUGAAUUUUCGCUAAUAUUUGUGACCAGAGGGUAUAAGUUAUUGCAUUGAAAACUGUGUAAUAUUUAUAUAAAAAAGGGUUAAUAGGUCUUUAGCGCCCUGUAAUAUAUGUCAUUUCUGGUUUUCUC
rnacentral:lncRNA from 1 species